GUUCUUCAAAGGCUUUAUUAAGUUUUGCUACACAACAAUAAAUAACUGUCAUCAGCAUAAAUAUGAAAACUAGCAUUUGAUACAUUUCGACCAACAUUAUUAAUAUAUAUAGUGAACAGUGGCACCCCCUUCUGGACAGUUAAUAUAUCAGAUGACUUGCCAUCAAACUGGACACACUGAGUUCUAUCUGAUAUGUACCUUUUGAACCAUGAGACUGCCUUAUCAGAUAAUUCUAUGUUUGUCAAGGCUCAGGAGAAGACCCAGAUGCAGACCGUUUCGAAGUAACAAAAGUUUAUUACAAAAACAGGGAGGCAGGCAAACGACAGGUCAAGGGCAGGCAGAAGUCAGUAAUCCAGAGCAGAGUCCGAAAGGUACAGAAUGGCAGGCAGGCUCAGGGUCAGGGCAGGCAGAGGUCAGUAAUCCAGUGUGGCGUGACAAGGUACAGAUGGAAGGCAGGCUCAGAGCAGGCAGAAUGGUCAAAACCGGGAAAACUAGAAAACAGGAACUAGAGAAAGACAGGAGCGCGGGAAAAACGCUGGUAGGCUUGAUGAAACAAAAUGAACUGGCAACAGACAAAUAGAAAACACAGGUAUAAAUACACUGGGGAAAAUGGGGAAGAUGGGCAACACCUGGAGGGGGGUGGAGAGAAGCACAAAGACAGAUGAAACAGAUCAGGGUGUGAUAAUGUUGACAUGGUCCCUUAAGUGCUUCAUUCAGUAUGAAUAUAAAUCAAAAAAUAAUUUUUGUGGAGGUGAAUGUUACUUUCCUCCACCCUGGUUGCAAAAGCAAAACAUCUAGCAUUACCACCUAGCUAGCUAGCUACUUAACUUUAGCUAAAUAAUGGAAACUGCACAAUAUUGGCUUCAAAGCUAGUUAUUUAGCUAGCAAGCUAACAGCUAACUACUCUCUGUAAGCUAGCUUGACGUGAAAGAAAGUAAUAGAAACAAAUUGAGAAACAUUUCACUAUAAGGGAAAUGUGUUUUAUUAUCAUCUGAAACGAUUUGCUUCUCUUGUCUUGAAUGUUGAAGUUCUAUUUUGCGAUCUCCCAAAAUAAAUACGAUCUCUUUGACAAGACGUUGAGACAUUCAGUCAGUGAAUCAGGCCAUCUCCGUGGUAACCAGAGACUCUUUCUGCUGUACAUGCCUUCAAACUACCGUAAAACCCUUAAUUAUGCCCUUACCUAAGAAAAACGUUGAGGGUCUCUAUGUAACGCCCUUAAACAAUUCCCUCAGGGAAGGGAAAAGUAUUCCUUAAGGACAAUCCCAAACGGAAACACUUAUGAUGUUUUAUGCAACAGGGCCCUGACUGUCACGCCCUGACCUUAGAGCCUUUUAUUCUCUAUUUUGUUAGGUCAGGGUGUGACUUGGGUGGGCAUAUCUAGGUUUCUAUUUCUUUGUUGGCCUAGUAUGGUUCCCAAUCAGAGGCAGCUGUUUAUUGUUGUCUCUGAUUGGGGAUCAUACUUAGGCAGCCCGUUUUCCCACCUAUGUUUGUGGGUAAUUAUUAUUUUCUGUGAGUGUUUGUGUGCGCCACAGUUGCGUCAUGGUUGAUUUCUGUUUACCUGUUUUUUGUGAAAGGUUUCACUUCCAUUAAAGAUGUGGAAUUACAUGCACUCUGCACCUUGGCUCAUUUAUGACAGGGAGUUUGAAGAGAGUGAUUGUGACAGAAUUACCCACCACAAAAAGACCAAGCAGUGUGCUCCAACUGGAAGAUGAGCUGGACCGGGGAGAAUCAACCACGACGCAAGCACGAGAGGCAGCCGGGCACACGGGGUGGUUGGCGGAGCGAGGUUUCAGACCAGAGCCAACUCCCCGCACUCGCUGUAAGGAGCGUGUGACCGUGCAGGCACCAUGCUUUGUGGUUACACGUAUUGUGUCUCCGGUACGCAUCCACAGCCCGGUGCGCUCUGUGCCAGCUCCCCGCAUUUGCCGUGCUAGAGUGGGCAUUCAGCCAGAACGGAUUGUGCCGGCUCAGCGCUCCUGGUCUCCGGUGAAUCUCUUCGGCCCAGGAUAUCCUGCGCCGGCUCUGCGCACUGUGUCUCCGGUGCACCUUCACAGCCCAGUGCGUCCUGUGCCAGCGCCCCACAGUUGCCGGGCUAGGCCAUCCAGCCAGGACGGGUCGUGCCAGCUCUGCGCUCCAGACCUCCGGUGCGUCUCCACGGUCCAUUAUAUCCUGUACCGGCUCAACGCACGAAGCCUCCAGUGAUGAUCCAUGGCCCGAAGCCUUCAGCAAUGAUCCAUGGCACGAAGCCUCCAGUGAUGAUCCAUGGCACGAAGCCUCCAGUGAGGAUCCAUGGCCCGAAGCUUCCAGUGAUGAUCCAUGGCCCGAAGCCUGCAAGCCCUGAGAGCAGGGGGGGAUCUGUGCAAGGUUUUAGCCCUGUGUUUUCCCAGGCCGAGCUCUGAAUGGGGAGCGUUGUUCCCUGUGCCGGGCCGGCUCUGCUCUGCCAGGAUCUUACUGGAGGAUCUCUUUGAACUGGGCGGUGUCAGCAGCUCCCAGCCCAGCCGCCAUACCGGCCUUGAUGUGCCUGUGGAGAGUGAAAGCAUGGGCGCCGAAAGAUCCGCCUGCCUUCUUUCUACCCCCCGUACCAACCUGCCUGCUUUCUAUGACCCCUCAA
rnacentral:lncRNA from 1 species